AUUAGAUACCCGUGUAGUCCCAGCCGUAAACGAUGCUCGCUAGGUGUCAGGCAUGGCGCGACCGUGUCUGGUGCCGCAGGGAAGCCGUGAAGCGAGCCACCUGGGAAGUACGGCCGCAAGGCUGAAACUUAAAGGAAUUGGCGGGGGAGCACAACAACGGGUGGAGCCUGCGGUUUAAUUGGACUCAACGCCGGACAACUCACCGGGGGCGACAGCAAUAUGUAGGCCAAGCUGAAGACUUUGCCUGAAUCGCUGAGAGGAGGUGCAUGGC
rnacentral:rRNA from 2 species